AACGAACGCUGGCGGCAUGCCUAACACAUGCAAGUCGAACGAGACCUUCGGGUCUAGUGGCGCACGGGUGCGUAACGCGUGGGAAUCUGCCCUUCGGUUGGGAAUAACUGAGAGAAAUUUCAGCUAAUACCUUAUAAUGUCUUCGGACCAAAGAUUUAUCGCCGAGGGAUGAGCCCGCGUAGGAUUAGGUAGUUGGUGGGGUAAUGGCCUACCAAGCCGACGAUCCUUGGCUGGUCUGAGAGGAUGAUCAGCCACACUGGGACUGAGACACGGCCCAGACUCCUACGGGAGGCAGCAGUGGGGAAUAUUGGACAAUGGGCGAAAGCCUGAUCCAGCAAUGCCGCGUGAGUGAUGAAGGCCUUAGGGUUGUAAAGCUCUUUUACCCGGGAUGAUAAUGACAGUACCGGGAGAAUAAGCUCCGGCUAACUCCGUG
rnacentral:rRNA from 1 species